rnacentral:rRNA from 1 species
CAGUCUUCUGGGAAAUCUAAUCGCUUAACUAUUAGGCUUCCAGGGGAUACUGUUAGACUUGGGACCGGGAGAGGUAAGAGGUACUGCAGGGGUAGGAGUGAAAUCUUGUAACCCCUGUGAGACCACCAGUGGCGAAGGCGUCUUACCAGAACGGGUCCGACGGUGAGGGACGAAAGCUGGGGGCACGAACCGGAUUAGAUACCCGGGUAGUCCCAGCUGUAAACGAUGCUCGUUAGGUGUCAGGAACGGUGCGACUGUUUCUGGUGCCGAAGGGAAGCCGUGAAACGAGCCACCUGGGAAGUACGGCCGCAAGGCUGAAACUUAAAGGAAUUGGCGGGGGAGCACUACAACGGGUGGAGCCUGCGGUUUAAUUGGACUCAACGCCGGAAAACUCACCGGGGGCGACAGCAAUAUGUAGGUCAGGUUAAAGGUCUUACCUGAAUCGCUGAGAGGAGGUGCAUGGCCGUCGUCAGUUCGUACUGUGAAGCAUCCUGUUAAGUCAGGCAACGAGCAAGACCCGUGCCCACUGUUACCAGCAUAUCCUUUAUGGAUGAUGGGGACUCUGUGGGGACUGCUGCUGCUAAAGCAGAGGAAGGUGCGGGCUACGGUAGGUCAGUAUGCCCCGAAUCUCCCGGGCUACACGCGGGCUACAAUGGUUGGGACAAUGGGUAUCUACUCCGAAAGGAGUUGGCAAUCUCUUAAACCCAAUCGUAGUUCGAAUUGAGGGCUGUAACUCGCCCUCAUGAAGCUGGAAUCCGUAGUAAUCGCGUUUCAACAUAGCGCGG